rfam:Orenia sp. Z6 2524618313, whole genome shotgun sequence.
CCGUGCUAAAUGGGGUGGUAGCGGUACCCUGUAACCCGCAAUCCGCUAUAGCGGGAUUGAAGUUCGCCUAAGUCUAUCUUCUGUGAGGUCUGGCUUAAGUAAGUGGUGUUGACAAUUGGGUCCUACGCAACGGAGCUUUAUGAACCCCGUCAGGUCCGGAAGGAAGCAGCGGUAAGUAAAUGUCUUCCGUGUGCCGUAGGGGUGCCUAAUUCGAGCUAACUGCUUAAGUAACGCUUGGAGGAGGUAGGUGAACGCGAAUGCACGG